GCGGCGUUGCAUCGAACGCGCUGCGGCGUUACAUCGAACGCGUGGCAGCGUUGCAUCGAACGCGCACAGGUGCAAGACGGCGCCGCGAUUGUGAUUGGUGGACAUGAGUGUUUGUUCUGCCAAUUGGUUCUGCGCAUGCGCUAGACUGUUCUUUGGCUAUAUAUUCCCGCGUUCUUUGGUUGCUGGGACGCUGCCAGUACGCAGCCGACGGAAUAGAGACGUUUCUCAAGUACGUCUCGGCGUCCGUCACAACAAACUGGCGACGAGGAUAGGAUACGGCAAGAUCCGCUGAAGAUGGCUACGUCGGGCGCUAACUUUAGCAAGCUCCCGGAGUUCGACCCGGACACCGGGGAACUUCGACGUCUACCUCGUGCGUCUGGAGUGCUUCAUCGCCGCCAACGACAUUGCAGGAGAACAGAGGCUGCUGGUCUUCUUGACUACCAUUGGCGACAAUGGUAGUCAAGAAGAAGUAGUACAAGGCUUACGGGACGCUCAGGAGCUUGCUUCUUCCAAAGACGCCCGCCCACCAAGGCGACAUUCGAGGACGCCGUUGGUGCACCGAAAAAGCACUACACUCUCAAGAGUUCCGUGGUGACGGAAAGGUAUCGCUUCCAUGAACGAAAACAAAGAGAAGCAUGAAAGCGUGUCGGACUUCAUCGUGGGUCUCAAGAAAUUGGCAGCGACGUGCGCGUUCGGCGCGUUUCUAGAGAAAGCUCUGCGGGACCGACUAAUCGCCGGCCUUCAAACAUAGGCUAUACGCUGCCGACUCUUAACCACGCCGGACGCUCAACUGACCUGGAAACGCACCUGCACCAUCGCUGUGGCUAUGGCAGCCGCGACGAAAGACACGCAGCAAAUAAUCUCGCAGUUCUCGCUGCGGGCGUCUCCGAACUUCACUGGCAAAGACAGAAAGUAGGACGUCUAUAAGCAAGUGCUGGCAAAAACUCCAGGAGCAGCGGAUUCGCGAAGGCUGAAAAGACAGCGUCGCAAGGGACUUAAGCUUCGUGUCAUCGCCGUGCGGGACACCAUGCGCCAUUUCAUGUCAUCUACGUCCACGAUCGCCAUUUUGUGGUGAACGUGGAUAACGUCAACCGUGCCGAUCUAGCGAGUCGGCACCUCGAGCCAAUUGAACAGCCCGAAGUGCCCGUCAUGACGGAUGCCAACCCAAGGACAUCAGUUUCAAGCCAGUUGUAACGGCCAUCUUCUGGCCACGACUCGGAAGAUCGCGAACAUCAACCAGGGAACGCGGAACCACGGCUUCGAGAUGAUCCGUAUACAUGACACUCAUUUUCUGGUGAAUGUUGAAAACGUGAACCAAGCGAAUUUCACCAGCCGGCAUUUGGGACCAAUCGGACAACCUGAAAUAGCCGUCAUGACGGAUGCCAACCCAAGGACAUCAGUUUCAAGCCAGUUGUAACGGCCAUCUUCUGGCCACGACUCGGAAGAUCGCGAACAUCAACCAGGGAACGCGGAACCACGGCUUCGAGAUGAUCCGUAUACAUGACACUCAUUUUCUGGUGAAUGUUGAAAACGUGAACCAAGCGAAUUUCACCAGCCGGCAUUUGGGACCAAUCGGACAACCUGAAAUAGCCGUCAUGACGGGGUUGCAAGGCUGCAAGAUACAUGUGGAAAUGGAGCACCGAACCGUGGUGUGUCGACACAGUGGACGGGAAACGCACAUGACGUGCCUAACGGCAACUUGUGUUGGACUCCUCCUGGACAUUGUUCGACGAGUGCUUCAUUACGUAAUUCAUGCAUUGGUAGGAUAGCCCCAUCAAUAAACAUGUACACCA